CCUACGGUGGGCAGCAGUGAGGAAUAUUGGUCAAUGGCCGGAAGGCUGAACCAGCCAUGCCGCGUGGGUGAAGGAGUAUUUCGGUAUGUAAAGCCCUAUCAGCAGGGAAGAACAAUGACGGUACCUGACUAAGAAGCACCGACUAAAUACGUGCCAGCAGCCGCGGUAAUACGUAUGGUGCAAGCGUUAUCCGGAUUUACUGGGUGUAAAGGGAGCGCAGGCGGCGCGUUAAGCCUGGUGUGAAAGCCCGCGGCCCAACCGCGGGACUGCAUUGGGAACUGGCGCGCUGGAGUGCCGGAGGGGUAGGCGGAAUUCCUAGUGUAGCGGUGAAAUGCGUAGAUAUUAGGAGGAACACCAGUGGCGAAGGCGGCCUACUGGACGGUGACUGACGCUGAGGCUCGAAAGCGUGGGGAGCAAACAGGAUUAGAUACCCCUGUAGUC
rnacentral:rRNA from 1 species